AGCCUCUCUAGCCAGAUGAGCCUACCUUGUUGUGAUCCUUUGAUAACCGUUUUGAGCCUAUACUGUCUCUUAGAUUUGUGUUCUGAAAAGAGAGAAAAGAAAAGAGACAAGAUGAGAAAAAAAAAAACAGAAAGAUGAGAAAAAAAAAUAAAAAAAAAAUUGUGUAAUUAAUGGAGUCAAGAAGAGGAUUGAAUUAGAGGUUUUGGGUGUGAUUUUAUUGUGUUUCACUUGUUCCCCAUUGCUCCUCUAUUCCUUUUGGUUUGUAGCUUCUUAUCCAUAUUUAUCCUCCUGUUUCCUUG
rnacentral:lncRNA from 1 species